rnacentral:rRNA from 1 species
AUACGUAGGGGGCGAGCGUUGUCCGGAAUGAUUGGGCGUAAAGGGCGCGUAGGCGGCCGCUUAAGUCUGGAGUGAAAGUCCUGUUUUCAAGAUGGGAAUUGCUUUGGAUACUGGGGGGCUUGAGUGCAGGAGAGGUUAUCGGAAUUCCCGGUGUAGCGGUGAAAUGUGUAGAGAUCGGGAGGAACACCAGUGGCGAAGGCGGGUAACUGGACUGCAACUGACGCUGAGGUGCGAAAGUGUGGGGAGCAAACAGGAUUAGAUACCCUGGUAGUCCACACUGUAAACGAUGAAUGCUAGGUGUAAGAGGUAUCGACCCCUUUUGUGCCGGAGUCAACACAAUAAGCAUUCCGCCUGGGGAGUACGGCCGCAAGGUUGAAACUUAAAGGAAUUGACGGGG